GCAGGGCAGACAGUUCUGAUGAACGCUAACCAGUAGACGGUAACCACAGUGAUUGGCAGAGCUUGGACGCCAAGUCUAACCUGCUCUGAGCUGAUGUGCACUGUUGGCUCCUGUUGUGCUGCACAGGCCUCCGUACAAACGGAACUCAAGGGUUAGUCUUUGUGACUCGUGAGGUGACUACACUAACACCUGGUGUUGAUAAGAUGGCAUGAAAACAGCCAGCUCUGGAAGUCGUGCGGAGUGAUGGCUCAGAAGUGAAUAGUGCUUGCUGCUCUUUCCAAGGACCCGAGAUGGGUUACCAGCACCCAUGUUCUCCAGAUCACAGUCUUCGCUAACUCCAGCUCCAGGGCUUCUAACCCCCUCUUCUGGCCUCCAUGGUCUUUCAUGUGUAUUCUGCAGAAGCCAGAAGGUCCCAUCGAGCUGGAGGUACCGG
rnacentral:lncRNA from 1 species